rnacentral:rRNA from 1 species
CCUACGGGUGGCUGCAGUAGGGAAUUUUCGGCAAUGGGCGGAAGCCUGACCGAGCAACGCCGCGUGAGCGAAGACGGCCUUCGGGUUGUAAAGCUCUGUCAUGUGGGAAGAAGUCCUUAAGCAGUCACUGGCUUAAGGGUGACGGUACCACAGGAGGAAGCCCCGGCUAACUACGUGCCAGCAGCCGCGGUAAUACGUAGGGGGCGAGCGUUGUCCGGAAUUAUUGGGCGUAAAGCGCGCGCAGGCGGUUCCUUAAGUCUGAUGUGAAAGCCCCCGGCUCAACCGGGGAGGGUCAUUGGAAACUGGGGAACUUGAGUGCAGAAGAGAGGAGUGGAAUUCCACGUGUAGCGGUGAAAUGCGUAGAGAUGUGGAGGAACACGAGUGGCGAAGGCGACUCUUUGGUCUGUAACUGACGCUGAGGCGCGAAAGCGUGGGGAGCAAACAGGAUUAGAUACCCGUGUAGUC